rnacentral:rRNA from 1 species
GACGAACGCUGGCGGAAUGCUUUACACAUGCAAGUCGAGCGGCAGCACGGGGGCAACCCUGGUGGCGAGCGGCGAACGGGUGAGUAAUACAUCGGAACAUGCCCAGUCGUGGGGGGAUAACACUUCGAAAGAAGUGCUAAUACCGCAUACGUCCUGAGGGAGAAAGCGGGGGAUCGCAAGACCUCGCGCGAUUGGAGUGGCCGAUGUCAGAUUAGCUAGUUGGUGGGGUAAAGCCUACCAAGGCAACGAUCUGUAGCUGGUCUGAGAGGAUGAUCAGCCACACUGGGACUGAGACACGGCCCAGACUCCUACGGGAGGCAGCAGUGGGGAAUUUUGGACAAUGGGGGCAACCCUGAUCCAGCCAUUCCGCGUGAGUGAAGAAGGCCU